AACCUGACUGGGGGAUGGCUCGGCUCGAGAGCUGAUGAAGGUCGUGACAAGCUGCGAUAAUCUACGGGGAGGCGCAUGAAUGCCUUGGAUCCGUAGGUCGCCUAAUAGGACCUCCUGACGCAAGUCGUCAUUCCCAAAUAUACCUGGGAAAGGGAACCCACCGAAUUGAAGCAUCUUAGUAGGUGGAGGAAUAGAAAUCAAAUGAGAUUCCGUGAUUAGUGGCGAACGAAAACGGAACAGAACAAACCGAAUCCCCUUGGGAAACCUUGGGGAGAUGUGGGGUUCGGAUCGUCUAUUGCCUAAAUUCGUGAAAUGGAAGUCGACCUGGAACGGCGCACCAUAGAGGGUGAAAGUCCCGUACAUGUAACGAACAUGGCCAAGUGACGAAUCCAGAGUAGCGUGCGUUGGAUAUCGCGCGUGAAUGUGGGAGGCAUAAACUUCCAAUUCUAAAUACUACUCGAGACCGAUAGUUGACAAGUAGAGUGAUCGAAAGCUGAAAAGUAUCCUUGACGGGAUGUGAAAAGUACCUGAAACCAGUUAGGAACAGGCUGAGUGGGCGUGAAAGCGAUGAUAUGAGCAGCGUUCACUCGUGCGUUUCGAAAAAUGCCCCUGGGAGUCUUGAUCAUUGGCGAGGUUAAGGAGUUGAUCUCCGAAGCCGUAGGGAAACCGACAAGUCCGCAGCCCUUCGGGGUGAGGGACGAGAUGUGCUCGUCUGAAGUCAAUGGUGGAGAACCUGAAGCCCGUCGAUCUAUGCCUGGCCAGAUUGAAGCCCGACGAAAGUUGGGUGGAGGAUCGAACCGUUGCUGAUGUGCAAAUCGCUCGGACGAGCUGGGUAUAGGGGUGAAAGUCCAAUCGAGAUGGGCAAUAGCAGGUUCCGCGCGAGACUACUCGUAGGUAGACCUCUGUGAAGAUAGAUUACGCUGUAGAGCACUGAUUGGGUGUUUAGGGGGAGCAAUCCCUCGGCAUGCUGCCAAACUCCGAAGGUGUAAUCGUUGAAGAAGCAGGGAGUGAGCCACGGUGGGUAAGCUACCGUGACGAAAGGUGAACAAACCAGCCUGAUGUUAAGGUCCCCAAAUUCCAACUAAAUGUAAAGAUAAACCGUGUCCGUGGUCGAAGACAACUAGAAGGUGGGCUUAGAAGCAGCCACCCUUGAAAGAGUUCGUAACAGAUCACUAGUCAAGCUUGCGGGCCGGGAAAAGGGACGGGACUAAGUUGGAUACCGAUACAUCAGACCAGCGAAAGCUGAUGUGGUAGCGCGGCGAUAUGCUCGGGCAGAAGCGAGGCUGUGAAGUCUCGUGGACCGUGUAUAUAUGAGAAUCCAGGGAAGAGUAGCAGCAAAGUGUGGUGAGAAUCCGCACCACCGGAGGGGCCAGGGUUCCUCGGCAAUGAUCGUCAGCCGAGGGUUAGCCGGUCCUAAGGAUAUCCUUAACCGAGAUAUUCGAAAGGGAAAUGCGUUAAUAUUCGUAUGCCUCUGUACAAUUAUGGUGACGGCUUUGGUUAGUUCGGCGAGUCAUAUAGCAGGCUCGUGAAGCGUUCAAUAAUCGAUUGGAGAACCGUCAUGGUGAGAAGAUCGAGAAGGCGUGAAAGCAAUCCGAAUGAUACCAAGGUCCCGUGAAAAGCCGUACAGAUGACCGUACCGAGAACUGACACAGGUGCCCCUGGGUGAGUAGCCUAAGGUGUGACGGAAAAACAACCGCGAGGGAACUCGGCAAAAUCGCCCCGUAACUUCGGGAGAAGGGGUGCCAGCUCUGAGGAGAGCUGGUCGCAGUGACUAGAGGACUCCGACUGUUUAAUAAAAACAUAGGCGACUGCCAGUCCGAAAGGAUGUGUAUAGUCGCUGAAUCCUGCUCAGUGCCGGUAUCUGAAAUGGGGGUACAACCUCACGAAGGACCGGUAAACAGCGGGGGUAACUAUGACCCUCUUAAGGUAGCGUAAUACCUUGUCGCUUAAUUGGCGACUUGCAUGAAUGGUCUAACGAGAGUCCUACUGUCCCCGCGGUUGGUCCGGCGAAAUUGACUUUACUGGCGCACAGUCCAGUACCUUCAGCCUGCAAGCGAAGACCCCAUAGAGCUUUACUGCAGCCUGUCGUUGUGUAGUGGCACUCCACGUGCUGCGUAGACGGGAGAUAUCGAUCCAUCAGACGCCAGUCUGGUGGGGAGUCGACAAGAGAGACACCGUCCUUGAAGUGCAACUACACUCACUCUUUACGAGGACACCGGUAGGUGGGCAGUUUGGGUGGGGCGCCACGCGCUCGAAAUGAUAACAAGCGUGCCCAAAGGUCAGCUUAGGUGGUUCAGUCUCCACCGCUAAAUGUAAGGGUAAAAGCUGGCUUGACGUGGAUCGGCACAAUAACGAUCGACGAUGCGAAAGCAGGGCCUAACGAACCUACUAGCCUCAUUUAUGGGGGCAGUAGAUAACAGAAAAGUUACCUU
rnacentral:rRNA from 1 species